rnacentral:lncRNA from 1 species
AUCUGUGUAUCUAGCGAGACGGGAGAAAGUGGUCAUUUUAGAACAAGCCACCACAAGCCAGGGCAAGUUGAGCAGUGAAGUGGCAGCCUGCUGUGUUGGGGUGAUGGCCUCACUUUUGUCAUAUUAAUGUGAGAUACAUAAGCAGAGUCUCACUGUGUCGCCCAGGCUGGAGUGCAACGGCGCGAUCUCAGCGGCUCACUGCAACCUCAGCCUCCUGGUUCAAGCAAUUCUCCUGCCUCAGCCUCCUGAGUAGCUGGGAUUGCAGAUGCGCACCAGUAUUAUCACAAUUUAAAAAAGGGUUUUGUAAAAUAUUAACUCUCAAUCUCCACUAAACCUAAAACAUCUCAUAUACACUCUAAUAUCAAAAAACAAAUGGUUUAACUGUAUUUAAACAGUGGGAAUAAACAUAGAGAGGUCAUUAUGUCAAUAUCAAGUUCACUCUAAUGUGUGAGUAAAUUUUAUGAUUAAGAAGUGUUGUCUAAUUGUUUUCUAAGGCAGUGGGACUCACCUAGCACAGCUGUGAAAAUUCCACAUCUUUUCACACUGAAGUUUAAAUUGAAAAAUAGAGGCCAUGUAAGUUUAUGAAGUAUGGUGAUAAAGUUAUUUCGUGACCGUUUUUUUUAAAUGUCUAUCAAUGGAAAUACUGUAACUGAUGUGGUGGUAAUAUUUAGCUACCAGAAAAAAACCAUGGCUAAGCCUUAUGAAUAUUAUCACUUCUCCCUGUAUAGGCCUGCACUGGAAAAGUCAUUCAUUCAACUACAGUAUUACACCUCUCAUGGUAACCAUUACUGGAGGCUGAUUCUUUACCUCUCCACCUCCUUUAAUCUGUAACAAGAGAGUGAUGGCUACAAUUCCACAGACUUUAAACACUGGUCAGCAUUUAAGUUUUUCUUCUAUCUUUCAGGAGGCACUAAGAACAUAUUUUGCACAAAAAACACUAAUAAGAUUGCAGAAUAAAAGUCUCAAUCAUGCAUAUAUUCUUUCCCCACUUCUUUUACUCUUCUGUUGAGUUAGUGCUUAAAACAAAAUACCGCACCUUUCUCCAUCAAUUUCCUCCAUGAAAUUCAAAGUAUUCAGGUGAGGAUAGGUUAUUUUCACAUCCAGCCUGUGUAUCUCGCUGCAUCAUGAGAAGCUCAGCUGCUGCUGUUGUUUUGUUUUUGUCUGAAGGCAGGAUGUGUUUGAUUCUCUUUUUAAAGUUACUCAAGAGAAAAUGUUGACUGCUGUAAUAAAAAUCUGGAUGAAAUUGUAGUACAAUGUGUUCUGAGACUCAUACUCUAGGAAAUGUAUGCAGAGUACACUGAGAUUAAUAAAUGAAGUGGAAAAAUCUUCUAUAUUAAAAUGUUUUUCUCUUGAAA